CUGUAACACCCUAAAAAUUGUUUUCUGGGAAAUAGAGCUAAAAUGAUUUAAUUAUGAAUUUUUGUGCUCAUGAGAAUAUAGGAAGAAUAAUAUUUUUCAUUAAAAUAAAAUUUAUCAUAGGAUUAGUAAUCUGGUUGUGCAUUCAUGCUGGAGAAUUUAUUUUUGUGAUGAGUGUAUUUGAACCUAAAAUUAAAAAUGAUUUAAAAAUGAUUUUGGAAAACUAUUUUGGAAGAAAAAAAAAGAAAAAAAGGAAAAGACCCCGCGGCCCAGUUCCCUCGCUCGGCCCGAAGCGCAGCCAGCGGGCGCCCUCCUCCCCUUUCGCUCUUCCCUCGCUGACGAGCCGGCCCCGCAGCGCAGCGCCUCCCUCUUCUUCUUCACGUAAUCGAGACGGACUUGCCCUCCCCGAUCGCGAACCGAUCCCAGGAAAGCCGUGAUCUCUUGCCAUUUUCGCGAACCGUGACCAUAUAAAGCCUAUUCCCCCAAAGCCGCAGCCUUCCUUUGCAUCUAAAUCGCCAGUCGAAGCCCUAGAAGGCGUCGUCUACGCGGUUCGGGAUCUCGCCGAAAACUCGGGGCUUGCCAACCGUCUCUGUGCCUUCUCAGCUCGAGCAAACCAUCCUAGCGAGUUCGGGGUAAGCUCCUCCGCGCGUUGGUAUUUUUAUUUUGGAGUUUCGUGCUUGGAAACGAGAAACCCGCGAACGCCGGCGAGCUUCCCAACGGUGGCCAUGGCGCCACCGAGCCGGUGCUGAGCUCCGGCCGGCCAGCCGCCCGCCAACCCCCCUGAUGUAUCUGGACCAUACGAUCGAAGACUAACGGAUAGGAUUAGAAGAUACCUUUUCGCAGUGAAUCUUCAUAAAGAGUCCCUAAAGUAUUUUAGUAAUUACUCCACAGUCCCUGGCGCCCUGAGCAGUAAAGCGUAUUCCAAUGGUUUGAGCAAAAUACGUUUUCCAGAAAUUACAGUUUUGCCAUUAAAUUUGUUUUGCUUAUAAAAUAUUCGUUUUAACUCCGUUUUUGUCCAUUCAAAUUCCGUUGGAUUCGUAUUUACGAUCUCUACAUGUUAGAAAUAUUAGUUUACUGUUUUGAAACUUUUUAAUUCUGCAGUAGCAUUUAAUUAAUUAUUUAUUUAUAAGAAAUCUUAGAAAAAUCAUAACUUCUACGUUUUAACUCCGAUUUUCGUGAUCUUUACGUUUGUGUGAUCGUAGUGCUGCGUAGAAUGUUUUCAUAAACUUUUAUCUUUUAUUUCUCACUGUUUGGUGUAUUGUUCUAAUUUUAGCUUGUUUGCUUCGUGUAUGAUUGUCUACAUUGGAUUGCGUGUAGUUGAUUGAUGAUUGAGUUUAGACGUGAGCCGUACGUUGGUGAGCAAGAUCAAGCUUUUGGACGACCAGCAGGCUCAGGAGAGCUUUGAUCAAGGCAAGUAUAACUUGGGACUAUCCUUGUUACCUAUACACAAUUAAUAUAACAUUUAUCAUAUGCAUGUGUCCACCUUGAUGACCGUAGCAAAAUCAUAGAUGAUUGUUAUCCUGGAUUCCUUGUUACCUAUUUUGGAUAUGCAUUUGGUAGUUCUUGCUAGUGCUUGAUGAUUAAUCUAUGAUCUUGUAACAUGAAUAUUUGAAUAUACAAUAAACAAUAAAAUAAGCUUUCUAGCAACUUGAAUAUAAAGGGUGGAAAGAACUCUGGCUUUUGCUGGAUUGAUCUUGACCCUCCGUAAGGACUUAUCCCUUGGCAAAAGCUGGGACAACUCGUACAACCAUGAGGGCUAUAUGGCUCUGGCUUUAGUCAAGUAUGAGUAAUUUUUCUAGCUUGUUAGCGGUUACCCGAAAGGGCGGAGGGGCUGAACCGUUUUGGGUAUAGUGCGAGCCCCUGUCCUUAUGAGUAUAGGCUGCGCGUCAUUGUGCCAUUUGGAAGGGGGGUAUCUAUAUCUGCGCAAAGGAAACCUUGCGGCCCUAACUUGUUAGACGAACCUUUGAAAGACUUCAUAGUGAACCCUGUCGGCUUUCCUGGGAAGUGAGCUAAGAGGUCGACGGGCCUCGGGUGAAAGGGUAAAUCAUGACUCAUGGGUAAAGAUGUACAACCUCUGCAGAGUGUUAAAUCUGGUAUGCUAGCCGUGCCCACGUAUACGGGCGGCCCGGAAAACUGACGGAAUAGAUGGACACUGAUGAAUAUGACUAAUGAUAAUAAAUGAUGGUUUAUUAUGUUGUUUACAUGUGUUAUUCUUAAUUCUUGUAUACAUUGAUCAUGUGGUUAUGGGAUUAAUUAUGCUACCUUGAUAUUUGCUAGCCAAUGAUUAAAUAUGCUAUCUACAUAUAAAAGCUAAAUGCAGUCAAACCAGUGUCAGCUAUUUGAGCCUCAUGAACCCCUGGUUAUACUUGUUGAGUACGAUAUGUGCUCACUCUUGCAAUUUCCCCCACACUUCAGGAGAUGUUAGGCUUGUGCUCAACCAGUCAGUUGGAUCCUGUGGAGAGAAGUUAAUACCCGAAGUUUGAUGUUGUCUAUCCGCUGUUUGCUAUCAAAGGUUAUAUCUUUUAUACUACGUUCGUUAUAUAAUUUAUGCAUUAUCUUUUGAUAUUACCCCUUAUUUUGUAGCUAUAUGUGAGAUUUGGCUUUUAAAACUCACAUAUGGUGUAUAUCUGGUUUUGUCCUUAAAAUCGGGUAUUACAAAGUGGUAUCAAAGCAAUGCUGACUGUAGGACGCAAGCCUAGUUAGAAAUUGGUCAUCUUAAGGUUUUGGAAUUGUCAUAAAAUCCUUGCUCUAUAAACCUUGAUAUUUUCAUCCAUACUAUAUCCCUAUCCUUGCUAUUUCUCUACCUUGUUGCUUAUUUUAAGAGUAUUUGCUCUCACCUUCACUCCUUGAUUUGGUAUGCUAUUAGAACCUUUUCUUACCACCUUCUUGUGUCCUUGAAAUAUAAGUUUUAGGAUCUUUACCCUUAAUAGGAAGAGAACGAUAGUACCGCAAGUUGAGUUAAUGCUUGAAGUGUGAACCUUUGAUGCUUGGUUUGGUUUGUUAUUAUGCUUAUGAUUGAUUUGGAUCUUUGUAAUGAGUGCAAUGAUCUUGUGGGUUUUCUCCACGAUAUCAUUUAGUUUAUAGGCCUAAGGCAUAAGGAGUAGUGAAAUAAGUAGUUGGGUUUGGUUAUAUCCUGUUUCUAUCCUUUGCUGUUUUCUGAAGCAGACUGCAAUAAUUCUGGUGUAUCUCAAGUUCUGAUCAUGCAACGUCUAUCAAAUUUUUCUGGGAACAACUAGACUUCAAGAUAUUUCUCCGACCGCAAGGAUCACCCUCAUAUCUAUUAUGGUUUGGAAGUUACAAAAAUCACAAGAUGAUACAUAUGUGCUGUCAGGAAUCUGGAUCAGUUCGGUUGCCUACUGUUCUAGACAAAUAUAACUAUAGAAUUUGGAAAAGUGUUCUAUAGAAGAGUUGUAGACAAUUUUCUAAGCUUUCCAACGGUGUAAGCUAGAACUUAUUUGGAUAAGUAGAACCUGAGAUAUGACAGAUGCAAUUGGAUGUUUCUGUUCUAUUUCAAAGUCUGGACAGUCCUAGUAUUUCCUAAUUUCAGCCAAAUUAACUUCAUAAUCUGGGAAAAAGUUGUAUACAAAAGUUUCAGAGGAUUUCAUAAGCUUUUCAACAUUGUAAGGAUCGUCAUUAUAUGGUUUCUAUGGCUCAUGAUAUGACUGUUUCAAGAUGCUGUGUCUGUGUUGUCAGACUUCCUGGACAGAUUUUAUGUUGGAUUAUCAAACCUUAUUUUAACGCCCGAAUAUGGGGAAGUGAUCAACAAGAAAGUUGUGGAGAAUUUGAUAAGCUUUCCAGCAGUGUAGACCAUAACUCUAUCAGGUUGACGGAACAUUAGUUGUAGCUGGUUUACUAAGUUGUUGUUUUUCAUCUUGCGAGGAAUUUCUGAUUUCUUGUUCUUGUCUAUGUAUAUGAGUUCUCUUGGAUAUAAGAAGCUCUUUUAUGGUAGUUAACCUACUCAUAAGAAUGUUCAAGACAUCCUUGGUAUCCCCUAGCUGAUCUCAUCUUAAGGGGGGUAGCCAAGCUAUAGAAGUUGCAAGACAAAGGUUUUAUGUGUUCAAGUAUUUUAUUUGGAAGAUCUGUUAUUCCUUUGGUGGACAACUCCCUAUCAACCACAAAUAUCUUUGCUCAAGAGUGGUUACUCUUUGCACCAAUGAGUUCAGGUAUUCGUCAAGAUUGGUCUCCACAUUGAGCUAUUAUCAAAUGGAGGUUCAACUUCCAACAUGCCCAAGACAAGAUGACAUUAAUGAUAUUGGAAAGAGAUAUCGAACAUCUACGGAUGAUUCUUCAGAGAGUUAUGAAACCUUAUUAUUUCACCAUGCAUGGCUAGUAAGUUUUGAGUGAACUAAGUUCUCUAAAUUGAAUAUGUUGUCUCUAGUGGUGGGAUUAUGGAGAAGUAUAUGUCGAUGCCAGAGCUCUUAUCAUAAAGAGUGUGCUAGGAAAAGUUUGGACAACACCUAGAUUUGAGGAUUUGUGUGCGGAGGUUGAGUGAUAUUACUAACACUACAAAUUUGGAAAUUAAUAGGGCUCACUUUGGAAGAAGGAGAAGGAUGAUUGUGAAAUGGGACGAUGAAAGUAAUAAGGAGAAAGUUGAGUAUAUCAUGGUUGGAAAUGCAUCAGGUUUUAAAUGGAUGGGCAAGGAACAUAUACCCCAGAUAAGCUAUGAGUAAAAAAAAAACCUUAUCUAUACGAAUUACAUUGCUGAACUCUUGGGAACCAUUGAUGGAGAUGUUCGGAGUGACAAAGGCCAUAGAAUGGUUACUAAGAAAGAGCUACUCAAGGAAGUGAACAAGGUUCAAAAGCGGAGUAUCUACAUCUCUUUGAUCACCAUCUUCCGAAUCUCGAGGACGAGAUUCAUCUUAAGGGGGGUAGAUUUGUAACACCCUAAAAAUUGUUUUCUGGGAAAUAGAGCUAAAAUGAUUUAAUUAUGAAUUUUUGUGCUCAUGAGAAUAUAGGAAGAAUAAUAUUUUUCAUUAAAAUAAAAUUUAUCAUAGGAUUAGUAAUCUGGUUGUGCAUUCAUGCUGGAGAAUUUAUUUUUGUGAUGAGUGUAUUUGAACCUAAAAUUAAAAAUGAUUUAAAAAUGAUUUUGGAAAACUAUUUUGGAAGAAAAAAAAAAGAAAAAAAGGAAAAGACCCCGCGGCCCAGUUCCCUCGCUCGGCCCGAAGCGCAGCCAGCGGGCGCCCUCCUCCCCUUUCGCUCUUCCCUCGCUGACGAGCCGGCCCCGCAGCGCAGCGCCUCCCUCUUCUUCUUCACGUAAUCGAGACGGACUUGCCCUCCCCGAUCGCGAACCGAUCCCAGGAAAGCCGUGAUCUCUUGCCAUUUUCGCGAACCGUGACCAUAUAAAGCCUAUUCCCCCAAAGCCGCAGCCUUCCUUUGCAUCUAAAUCGCCAGUCGAAGCCCUAGAAGGCGUCGUCUACGCGGUUCGGGAUCUCGCCGAAAACUCGGGGCUUGCCAACCGUCUCUGUGCCUUCUCAGCUCGAGCAAACCAUCCUAGCGAGUUCGGGGUAAGCUCCUCCGCGCGUUGGUAUUUUUAUUUUGGAGUUUGGUGCUUGGAAACGAGAAACCCGCGAACGCCGGCGAGCUUCCCAACGGUGGCCAUGGCGCCACCGAGCCGGUGCUGAGCUCCGGCCGGCCAGCCGCCCGCCAACCCCCCUGAUGUAUCUGGACCAUACGAUCGAAGACUAACGGAUAGGAUUAGAAGAUACCUUUUCGCAGUGAAUCUUCAUAAAGAGUCCCUAAAGUAUUUUAGUAAUUACUCCACAGUCCCUGGCGCCC
rnacentral:lncRNA from 1 species